AUUGAACGCUGGCGGCAUGCCUUACACAUGCAAGUCGAACGGCAGCACGGGAGCAAUCCUGGUGGCGAGUGGCGAACGGGUGAGUAAUACAUCGGAACGUGUCCUGGAGUGGGGGAUAGCCCGGCGAAAGCCGGAUUAAUACCGCAUACGCUCUAUGGAGGAAAGCGGGGGAUCUUUCGGGACCUCGCGCUCAAGGGGCGGCCGAUGGCAGAUUAGGUAGUUGGUGGGGUAAAGGCCUACCAAGCCGACGAUCUGUAGCUGGUCUGAGAG
rnacentral:rRNA from 1 species